GAUGAACGCUGGCGGCGUGCUUAACACAUGCAAGUCGAACGGAAAGGCCCAAGCUUGCUUGGGUACUCGAGUGGCGAACGGGUGAGUAACACGUGGGUGAUCUGCCCUGCACUUCGGGAUAAGCCUGGGAAACUGGGUCUAAUACCGGAUAGGACCACAUUUUGGAUGGUGUGGUGGAAAGGUUUUCGGUGUGGGAUGAGCUCGCGGCCUAUCAGCUUGUUGGUGGGGUAAUGGCCUACCAAGGCGUCGACGGGUAGCCGGCCUGAGAGGGUGUACGGCCACAUUGGGACUGAGAUACGGCCCAGACUCCUACGGGAGGCAGCAGUGGGGAAUAUUGCACAAUGGGCGCAAGCCUGAUGCAGCGACGCCGCGUGGGGGAUGACGGCCUUCGGGUUGUAAACUCCUUUCGCUAGGGACGAAGCGCAAGUGACGGUACCUGGAGAAGAAGCACCGGCUAACUACGUG
rnacentral:rRNA from 1 species